GCAGGCGUGCAGGAGACCGCGCAGGACUGGAAAUCCUGUUUCCGAAAGGAUGUCUGGGUUCGAAUCCCAGCCUCGGCG
rnacentral:tRNA from 1 species